rnacentral:lncRNA from 1 species
CGAGAUAGCUUUGAAAACUAUAAUACAUAGAGAAAUACACAAAGUAACCUUUAUAGCUUAGUAAGCUCGUAUGAAAUAAACAUAAUGCAGUCACAUAAAUAUAAUUCAAUAAUUUGAAUACAACAACAUAUAGCUUACAAUACCUAACAAACCUUUCACAUACUCAAUUGUGAGAUUAUGCACUACCUUCACAAGUUUCUUUGAUUUGAAACUUAUAUAAUUCAUGUACGUACCUGUAUAAUUUAAUAUGAAUCUCAUACUC